UACGUAGGGUGCAAGCGUUAAUCGGAAUUACUGGGCGUAAAGUGUGCGCAGGCGGCAGAGCAAGUCGAGUGUGAAAGCCCCGAGCUUAACUUGGGAAUUGCGCUCGAAACUACUUUGCUGGAGUGUGGCAGAGGAAGGUGGAAUUCCAGGUGUAGCGGUGAAAUGCGUAGAGAUCUGGAGGAACACCGAUGGCGAAGGCAGCCUUCUGGGCCUACACUGACGCUCAUGCACGAAAGCGUGGGGAGCAAACAGG
rnacentral:rRNA from 1 species